CGUGUACCUAUUGCACGACCUGAUACUGGAAAAAUUGCUGUCAAGUCAAUUGCGCUGCUUGCUAAUCAUUUUCCUGUUAGAUUUAAUCCCCAGUCUACCAUUAUGCAUUAUGAUGUGGAUAUUCAACAGAGGGCUGAUGGGAAUCGGCCUGUGAAGAAGCUAACAAACAAGUCUGUUCUCCAUAUGAUAAGAGAAAAGCUGUGUGCGGAUGACCCUACACGAUUUCCCCUAGAUAAAACUGCAUAUGACGGUAAGAAGAACAUUUUCAGUGCUGUUCAACUUCCUACUGGGUGUUUUGCUGUGAACUGGUCUGACGGGGAAGAUGCUAGGUUACGCUCUUAUGACAUUACCAUCAAGCUUGUUGCUGAAUUAAAACUUUGCAAGUUGAAAGAAUAUUUGAGUGGAAGCCUAUCACAUAUUCCUCGUGAUAUACUACAAGGAAUGGAGUUGGUUAUGAAAGAAAAUCCUACUAGGUGCAGGACUUCUGUAGGUCGUUGUUUCUACUCUAAUGAGCACCUGCCCGACCAUGACUUUCGUUUUGGUGUUGCUGCAUAUAGAGGUUUUCAACAGAGCCUAAAGCCUACAAAAGGAGGGCUUGCGUUGUGCUUAGAUUACUCGGUCUUGGCACUCCGGAAACCAAUGCCAGUGCUAGACUUUCUGAAGGAAUAUUUAGGAGAAUCUAACGAAAAUACCUUCAGGAACAACAUUCGAGCUGCAAAGGGUGCAUUGGUUGGUUUGAAAGUCAGGGUAAUUCAUCGUCGUACAAGCCAGAAGUUUCUUAUUAAGCAGCUAACUGACUGCAAGACUCGUGAAAUUACUUUUCCCCUUGAAGAUCCCGAAGGCAUAAAUCCCCCGAGGGAUGUUCUUCUUGUUGACUACUUCAGGGAUAAAUAUCAGCGCGAG
rnacentral:misc_RNA from 1 species